GACAGAGGGGGCAAGCGUUGCUCGGAAUCACUGGGCGUAAAGGGCGCGUAGGCGGGAUGGCAAGUCAGUCGUGAAAUCUCUCGGCUCAACCGAGAAACGUCGGCUGAUACUGCCGUUCUUGAGGGAUGCAGAGGAGACUGGAAUUCCCGGUGUAGCGGUGAAAUGUGUAGAGAUCGGGAGGAACACCGGUGGCGAAGGCGGCAUCCUGGACCGAGAUUGACGCUGAGGCGCGAAAGCUAGGGGAGCAAACGGGG
rnacentral:rRNA from 1 species